rnacentral:lncRNA from 1 species
GCCCGGGAUAAUCCAUAUUUAAAUGGACUGACCCAUUUAGACCCGGUUUAAAUAUGAGCUGAAAAAAUAUCAACCAACCCACCUCAUAUUUAAUAAAAAAUGAACUGACCCGAUGGGUCAAGCCCAUUUUGAUAGGUCUAUCGACACCCAUGUGAAUAUCACGUGUUACAAAAUUAUUGGUGCAUCCAUUUAUAGGGGAUUUUGUGACAUUUGGCAGUCGCAUGUGAGUGCCACGAGUACAUAUAAAAAGAAUCUCAAUGCAUUUAUUUGUUCAUAAGUAACUUAUGGGAUUACUUACUCAGAUAAUCAAGAUUCUUCUAAAAUAAUGAAAAAAGACAAUAUUUCAACCAAAUAAUAAAAUUGAGCUGUUGUUUGCAAAAUAAAUUGUAGCAGGAUCAAAGCAUCAUUAAUUAAUUCAUACCUUUUCGAUGACUCGGUGUACAACCUUCGAGCUAGCACAAUUAAUCACAAUUAAGUCUUCCAAGAAUGAAAACGUGCAGAUGUGAUUCCCUAGAAAAAAAAUUGUGAGGCUUGGUAAAUGAUUGAGUUCUAAAUUUUUCAACUUGCUUAAAGUGAUCUUUGAACAUUUAUUAAUUAUAAUUAUUAAUUUAUUUUUUCAAAAAAAAUAUAUGAAACAAUGAUACUAUAUAACAAAUUCCAGUAAGUAAUUAAAGUUUUUUUUCAAAGGCAACUAAUAUAAAGGAAAAAACGAAAAAAAAUAUUAAAUCAUAAAAACUAAAAAGAGAGAGAGAAAAAAAAUACCUCAAAAUAAUAUUUUUGGCAAAGAAAUCAAAUAGAGGAACAAAAGAUCGAUAAAUAGAUAAAAAGAAACAAAAGGAAGGAAAAAGAAAGGAAAGAGCAGAGAAAUGAAUGGUGCCGCAGCAAGUGGAAGCAGGAAAGGUAGAGAAUGGGGCGGUCGGUAGGGUAAACUGUAGAAAAAAAAAGAAAGGGAGCAACAGCCGGCUGUGAUUAAAAAUGACAUAGGGAGUGGACGGCUGUGAUUAGAAGAAAGAAAGGAAGUGGACGGUUGUGAAAGGAGAUCGAGUGGACGGUUGUGAUUAGAAGAAAGAAAGAAAGUGGACGGCUGUGAAAGGAGAUGGAGUGGACGGUUGUGAUUAAAAAAAGGAAAGGGAGUGAUGGCUGUGAUUAAAAAAAGGAAAGAUAGUGAGUGAGUGAUGUGGGCUGACGGUGACGGGUGAGUGGGUGACGGCUGAGUAGAAAAUGGAAAGGAAUGGAUAGGACAGCUGAAGUAAUCAAAGAAAUAAGCAUUUAAAAUUUUUUUCUUUUAGCCCGGUGGGCUGGCCCGGCCCAACCCAGGAUAAUCCAUAUUUAAAUGGACUGACCCAUUUAGACCCGGUUUAAAUAUGAGCUGAAAAAAUAUCAACCAACCCACCUCAUAUUUAAUAAAAAAUGAACUGACCCGAUGGGUCAAGCCCAUUUUGACAGGUCUAUCGACACCCAUGUGAAUAUCACGUGUUACAAAAUUAUUGGUGCAUCCAUUUAUAGGAGAUUUUGUGACAUUUGGCA